rnacentral:rRNA from 1 species
UGAGUACGAGACACUACGGUGUCGAAGCAGUCUAUGUCAUACUUCCAAGAAAGGCUUGCACUGUCAUAAACAAAUAAUGCCUGUACCAUAACCGACACAGGUGGGUAGGUAGAGUAUACUAAGGGGCGCGAGAUAACUCUCUCUAAGGAACUCGGCAAAAUGACUCCGUAACUUCGGGAGAAGGAGUGCCUUAUAUUUUAUAAGGUUGCAAUAACAAGAUCCAAGCAACUGUUUACCAAAAACACAGGUCUCCGCUAAGUCGUAAGACGAUGUAUGGGGGCUGACGCCUGCCCAGUGCCAGAAGGUUAAAGAAGUUGGUUAGUAUUUGCGAAGCUGAUAACUGAAGCCCUGGUGAACGGCGGCCGUAACGAUAACGGUCCUAAGGUAGCGAAAUUCCUUGUCGGGUAAGUUCCGACCCGCACGAAAGGCGUAAUGAUUUGGAUACUGUCUCGGAGAGGGACUCGGUGAAAUAGACUUGUCUGUGAAGAUGCGGACUACUUGCACCAGGACAGAAAGACCCUAUGAAGCUUUACUGUAACUUGAAAUUGAAAUUGGACUUUACUUGCGCAGCAUAGGUGGGAGGCUUUGAGAAUAUUCUUGCGGGAAUAUUGGAGCCAUUAGUGAGAUACCACUCUGGUAAUGUUAGAUUUCUAACUUUGUAUCAUUAUCUGGUCAAAGAACAGUUUCAGGCGGGCAGUUUGACUGGGGCGGUCGCCUCCUAAACGGUAACGGAGGCGCACAAAGGUUUCCUCUGAACGGGUAGAAAUCGUAUCUAGAGUGUAAAGGCAUAAGGAAGCUUGACUGUGAGACCUACAAGUCGAGCAGGGACGAAAGUCGGUCUUAGUGAUCUGACGGUGCUGAGUGGAAAGGCCGUCACUCAACGGAUAAAAGUUACUCUAGGAUAACAGGCUGAUCUCCCCCAAGAGUUCACAUCGACGGGGAGGUUUGGCACCUCGAUGUCGGCUCAUCGCAUCCUGGGGCGGUAGUACGUCCCAAGGGUUGGGCUGUUCGCCCAUGAAAGCGGUACGCGAGCUGGGUUCAGAACGUCGUGAGACAGUUCGGUCCAUAUCCGGUGUAAGCGUUAGAAUAUUGAGAGGAGCCUUCUUUAGUACGAGAGGACCGAGAAGGAUGCACCGCUGGCGUACCAGUUAUUGUGCCAACAGUAAACGCUGGGUAGCUAUGUGUGAAGUGGAUAACCGCUGAAAGCAUCUAAGUGGGAAGCCCACCUCAAGAUAAGUAUUCUUAUCACGUAAGUGAAUAAGGUCACGGUAAGACUAACCGUUUGAUAGGCAUUAAGUGUAAGUCUAGUAAUAGACG